UCAUCAAGACCUACCUAUUGAUGUCAAUUCCAUCCCGAAAAUCCGGCAACUAAAAAUUCGGCCAAAUUUCGGCGACCACCCCGAACACCCUCAAUUGAUUCUUGAUAAUAAUAAGAAGGAUUUGAUCCCGGUUUGGUUGAUGGAACAUAUUAGAUCUGAUUUUGUUUCAAGAUGAAUGUUAUAUUAGUGUUAUCAGCAUGUAAAUCUGUUAAAAAUUAGUUAAAUUAUCGUUUUCUUCUUUAUAUAUGUGAUUGAAAUUGCAUUCUGUUAAGAUUACUUAGUUUAAGAAAAAGAUAAAGACCCCACUUUUAACCAUGUUUGUUUAGUUUGGGCUCUUUUCCGUGAGUUACUUUCAUGGUUCAUGUAUAAUUAUUUAAGA